rnacentral:lncRNA from 1 species
GGUCGCAGCAGUAGGGUAGCAGCAGUAGGUAGCAGCAGUAGGGUAGCAGAAGUAGGUAGCAGCAGUAGGUAGCAGCAGUAGGGUAGCAGAAGUAGGUAGCAGCAGUAGGUAGCAGCAGUAGGGUAGCAGAAGUAGGGUAGCAGCAGUAGGGUAGAAGCAGCAGGGUAGAAGCAGCAGGGUAGCAGAGGUAGGGUAGAAGAAGCAGGGUAGCACAGUAGAUAGCAGCAGGGUAGCAGCAGUAGGGUAGAAGCAGUAGGGUAGAAGCAGUAGGGUAGAAGCAGCAGGGUAGCAGAAGCAGGGUAGAAGCAGUAGGGUAGAAGCAGUAGGGUAGCAGAAGUAGGGUAGGAGUAGUAGGGUAGAAGAAGCAGGGUAGAAGAAGCAGGGUAGCAGAGGUCAGUAAGUUGUCGUGUUGUCGUGUUGAAACAACUCUGCCAGGUCGAUCAUUUAGCUAGCUAGCGACAUUGUUUGUGAUAUCGAAAGUCACACUUUUAUUUAAAACGGUAAAAAAAAAAAAAUGGUGUUUGGUCAUAUUCUUAGCUGAUCCACCGUAUUUACUUACCGGUAUUUUAAAAGUGGUUGAUGUCCAGUCAGGAAGGAGAGAGUAACUUUAUUCUGCCCAGCCUGAGCACUGCCCACGUUAUGUCUUUCACAAUUAUAUCUACAUCAAAAUGCCUUGACUAAUUUUCAGAGUUAAUAUUAUGGAAUCAGUCUACACUUUUUACCCUAAAUUAACUAUCGUUUUUGUAUUAUCACCAAGGCCCUAGUCCCUUUACUAUAAGGCUUAUAAUAAAGACUGUUUUACCAAGGCCUUAGUCCCUUUACUAUAAGGCUUAUAAUAAAGACUGUUUUACCAAGGCCCUAGUCCCUUUACUAUAAGGCUUAUAAUAAAGACUGCUUCGAAUGAUAAAAGCAGACAGUUUUGAAUUCUCCAUUGAGAUUCCAUUGAUUUAGUAUGGCGGUGUGAUAGUGUUUGGUUGGUCAUGUCUUCCUCUUUCCGUGCUGUUCAUAUGAAACGGUGGUAAAUGUCGCCACCCAGAGGCAGCUGAG